GGUGGAGGGGGGUGCCUGCAGCUUCCUGUUCUGCUGCCGGUUAUCACAGGCUGUUCUAAUGCUGCUCAAACAAUAUUGAGAAUAACCCCGGCUCAAUAGCACCAGUGUUAGGCUGCAAAGUCAAUAUUGGCUGAGCAAACAGGCACCCCAAGAGAGGGGCCUCACUCUCAUCCCCUGCCUUCCUUCCUCACACCUCUGUCCCUUAGAUGGGACAGGAGAAGGGGUGCGAGAAUCUUGCUGAAUACAUGGACAUCCCAAAGGGUGAUGUCUCAUAGGGCCAUGGAAGUCCUUCCGAAUUUCUCAGAGCCGCUGCCUGAUUUCUUUAGAAACUUGGCUGGAGACAGUUUGGCCGGUGACUCCCUGCUGUAGGUGGACCCCUUGGAGCAAACACGGAGUAGCCUUGCCUCCUGCCCCUUGGACCUGAGUUGACCGUGGAGUGUUUACAUCGUUUAAAGGGAAAGGGCUGGGAAGCUGAACUCUGGCUGCGACCCUCCCAGAGGAUGUUGACUGUCCAGAAUCCCAGGAAGUCUUGGUUAGCAAUGAGGUCUGCUUGCAGUUUGGUAUAGGAUGCCUCUCUGGGGCCGCGAUUGCCUCCUUCCAGCUCUGGCUGCCCUCGCCUGCCUGUCUCUGGUCGGGGAUAUACAAGCAACUCCUGCAGCUCA
ensembl:lncRNA